GAGCACACCCGGGGGAUCAAGGAAAGGAAUCAUAGAAACCAGAAACAGCAGAGUGAUCGGUGUUGUUUUCCACAUUAACCUGUUCAACAAAUUCAUAACUUCAGCAACACCAAAUAGAGAAGUUUUAGAAACAAAUGUGCUCAAAGGGGCUUGCAACAUACGACAAUGCUGUCCAGUUCUCUUGUUGCUGCAAGUUGGACCAAAGGAUUUUAUUGAUGGCACUAGGGAUAAUCCAUGCCAUCGCUACACAUGCUCCAAAGAGGCUGAACUGGAGAUCAGUUACCGUAGCAAUUGCAACACCAAUAGAUACAACCGUCAGUGCAAUCACCUGACAGAUUACAUAGGAAGAAUUUCAAGAAAAAGGGGACAAAUAU